UCUUCAGGUGGGUGCUUGUUUAGUGAAGCUAAAUUGAAGCAGCACACAGUGAUUGGACCGAAUGAGGUUUUUCUCAUCUUCCCAAUUCUGCUUUUGCAGAGGUGAUGGUGAACACAGCUGGGAGGUAGUUUCCGCCCACCUUAACCAGACCUGGAGAACCCUAGCGACUCUGAAGCUGGAGUCUGUCUACACUUAACUUGCCCUCCCCUAAAUCUGGAGGAUGGGGAUGAGAACUUGGAACUAAAAGGGAAACCUCAGCCUCAGGAAAGCCAUCCUCUCAGCCCACAGUGGCUUCCACUUGGAUGCUCCGCUCUGUAUCUGGUGAGCCUUCUCCCCUGCACACCCCAGCCCAGCACUCGGUCACUUCAACCUGCUUCUGAGAGUCAGUAUAGCCUGGGAGGUGAUUCCCAGACUUUGCUGCAUGCCAGAAACAGCUGGGGAUUUUUUUUUUUUUUUUUUUUUUUUUGGCCACACCUGUGGCAUGCAGAAAUUCCCCAAGGGCCAGGGAUCAAACCCAUACCACAGCAGUAACCAGAGCCACAGCAGUGACAAUACCAGAUUGUUAACCUGCUGAGCCAUCAGGAACUCCCAGCUAAGGAUCUUUAAACAAUACUAAUUCCUGGUUCUCAUCCAAAACACUCUAAUUUCCAGCCUGGGGUGUAAGCUGGGAAUCUGGGGCAUUUUCAAAGCUCCCCAGGUGAUUCCAACAAGACGCCAUAUGUGGGAACUACUGACCCAAUACUCAAGGCAUGCUUCUUGUCAAGACAAGACUUUAGCACCAGUAGCAGGAAGACUUUGAACAAGUCUCAUUCUUCUAUACCUCAGUUUGCUAAUCUGAAAAAUGAACAUACCCGUGGUGCCUACCUCACAGGUAUGGUUAAGUGGAAGAAUGCAUGCUAAUGGUUUACCCCAGUGCCUAGCACAUAGUAAGCAGGCAAUAUUUGCUAAUUACUGACAUUCUCAUUAUUGCCAUCUUUAGUAUUUCUCUUGGCCUUUCUGGAGAUCAUGGGACCAAAGAUUCUCAUGUUGGCAAGGACUUAAGGAGUCCUCUUUGUUCAGGAAUUACUUUUCAAAAGUCCCCAGUAGGUGACCAUCC
rnacentral:lncRNA from 1 species